rnacentral:lncRNA from 1 species
CUAGCCGCGGCAAGCUUCUCCAGGAAAAUCAACAGCCAAUGAUCUUCCCCUCCGGCUCUCCUUUUGUCAUUUUGGCAACAAUCCUCAGUACCACGGUCCUCUGAAGCAGCAGCAGGCAUAAACAGCAGGCAGUGAGCCGACGCCAGACAUUGCAUCUUAUGGCUCUUUGAACUUGAACUUCCCACUUUGCCAAA